CAGGUAGCCUAGUGGUUAGAGUGUAGAGGAGGCAGGUAGUCUAGUGGUUAGAGUGGAGGGGAGGCAGGUAGUCUAGUGGUUAGAGUGGAGGGGUGGCAGGUAGUCUAGUGGUUAGAGUGGAGGGGUGGCAGGUAGCCUAGUGGUUAGAGUGGAGGGGUGGCAGGUAGUCUAGUGGUUAGAGUGGAGGGGCGGCAGGUAGCCUAGUGGUUAGAGUGGAGGGGCGGCAGGGUAGCCUAGUGGUUAGAGUGGAGGGGUGGCAGGUAGCCUAGUGGUUAGAGUGUAGAGGAGGCAGGUAGCCUAGUGGUUAGAGUGUAGAGGAGGCAGGUAGCCUAGUGGUUAGAGUGGAGGGGUGGCAGGUAGCCUA
rnacentral:lncRNA from 1 species